GUUUGGUCGGUUUUAUAUUUCCUAUUUUUCUUUAUUUUUCCUUUUUUUUUCCCUUUUUUGCCUUUUCUUUCCUGUCAUUCUCCCAGCCAAAUGCCGCCUUCGACCCUUUUGAUUUGAUCUAGCAAAGAUUGUGUCCAGAUUAUCUGAAAUUGACACUGAAGAAGAGGCCGCAGAAUGAGGACAGCGGACAGACGAGGACCUCGACUUCGUCAGCGCACAGAUACAGAGCGAAAGGAGACAAGAGACAGACAGAACAGAAA